rnacentral:rRNA from 1 species
GGAAUCUUGCGCAAUGGACGAAAGUCUGACGCAGCAACGCCGCGUGGGCGAAGAAGGCCUUCGGGUCGUAAAGCCCUGUCAGGAGGGACGCCGGUGACGGUACCUCCGAAGGAAGCACCGGCUAACUCCGUGCCAGCAGCCGCGGUAAUACGGAGGGUGCAAACGUUGUUCGGAAUCAUUGGGCGUAAAGCGCGCGUAGGCGGUUCGUCAGGUCGGUUGUGAAAGCCCAGGGCUCAACCCUGGAAUUGCGGUCGAAACCGGCGAGCUGGAGUCCCGGAGGGAGAAGUGGAAUUCCUGGUGUAGGGGUGAAAUCCGUAGAUAUCAGGAGGAACACCGGCGGCGAAGGCGACUUCUUGGCCGAGGACUGACGCUGAGGUGCGAAAGCGUGGGGAGCAAAC